CGGACGGGUGAGUAAUGUCUGGGAAACUGCCUGAUGGAGGGGGGUAACUACUGGAAACGGUAGCUAAUACCGCAUAACGUCGCAAGACCAAAGAGGGGGACCUUAGGGCCUCUUGCCAUCGGAUGUGCCCAGAUGGGAUUAGCAGUAGGUGGGGUAACGGCUCACCUAGGCGACGAUCCCUAGCUGGUCUGAGAGGAUGACCAGCCACACUGGAACUGAGACACGGUCCAG
rnacentral:rRNA from 1 species